CUAUGCCCUUCCUAAAUAGGGCCUGAGGAGAUUCUGAUGCACAACCCUUUUCUUCUCUGAAGGACCUCGAGAAAUUUCAUCGGACUCAAACCGAGUACCUUGGUCCGUAUGUACUUGCCGGGGGACACCAAACCUACAGACAAAUUGAAAAACAAAGGCCAAUAAAACCUCUGACGGACUCGAUGCAAAGUUCGGAGCACUCCAAAGUGACCGACUGAAGGGGCUGCAUGCAAUAUGUCGAAGACUUCCUGUCAAAAACAAGAGGUACUGACACUCUCCACAGGGACGUCUUGACAGACCAUCAACAUUUCCAUGGGACUUUCCGGGACGAGGUAAAUAUGGUAAAAUUGUAAACUGAAAGAACUUCCAUCGAACGUGCCAUUUGACCCUCAGGAUUUUUGAAAUGCAUCAACCAGUUGAGGGCACCAUGAUCAGUCCUGAUUGUAAAAUCGCUACCAUAAAGAUAAUGAUGAAAGUGCUUCACACUCUCAACCACUGCCAGGAGCUCUCUUCGAGUAACACAGUAACUGCGCUCAGGUCUGGAAAGUGAUUUACUAAAGUAGGCAAUCACCUGUUCUUUGCCAUCUUUAAUUUGGGAAAGGACGCCACCUAGGCAAAAAGCACUCGCAUCGGUAUCUAAAACAAAAUCUAAAUUCAUAUCAGGAUAACCCAGUACAGGUGUACUUGUGAGACAGUCUUUAAGUGUCUGAAAUGAAAUUUGAC